UGGUCCUCAAUGGGGGCAUGUGCACACUCUGUUUACACAUCCACUCACACCUGUGCACCCUCUGUAGUUCUGUGGCAUGGGGGACUCUGUCCUCCUGUUGUGGCUCUACAUCUUUACACACACUCUGUAACAAAGUCUCAUGGAAUGUAUGUCGCGUUUAACGCAAUACAAUACAACUUUCAGCAACGGAUCUCUUGGCUCUCGCAUCGAUGAAGAACGCAGCGAAAUGCGAUAAGUAAUGUGAAUUGCAGAAUUCAGUGAAUCAUCGAAUCUUUGAACGCACCUUGCGCCCUUUGGCUAUUCCGAAGGGCAUGCCUGUUUGAGUAUCAUGAACACCUCAACUCUCGUGGUUUGCUACGAUGAGCUUGGACUUUGGGGGUUUUGCUGGCCUGCGGUCGGCUCCUCUCAAAUGAAUCAGCUUCCCAGUGUUUGGUGGAGUCGCAGGUGUGAUAACUAUCUACGCUUGUGGCUUUUCACCAGAUAACCUUCGGUGACGGAGGUUUGCUGGGGCUCAUAAAUGUCUUUCCUCAGUGAAGACAGCCUUUUGAACGUUUGAUCUCAAAUCAGGUAGGACUACCCGCUGAACUUAAGCAUAUCAAUAAGCGGAGGAAAAGAAACUAACAAGGAUUCCCCUAGUAACUGCGAGUGAAGCGGGAAGAGCUCAAAUUUAAAAUCUGGCGUCCUCUGGCCGUCUGAGUUGUAGUCUGGAGAAGCGUUUUCCGUGUUGGACCGUGUACAAGUCCCUUGGAACAGGGCGUCGUAGAGGGUGAG
rnacentral:rRNA from 1 species